AUUGAACGCUGGCGGCAGGCCUAACACAUGCAAGUCGAGCGGAUGACGGGAGCUUGCUCCUCGAUUCAGCGGCGGACGGGUGAGUAAUACCUAGGAAUCUGCCUGAUAGUGGGGGACAACGUUUCGAAAGGAACGCUAAUACCGCAUACGUCCUACGGGAGAAAGCAGGGGACCUUCGGGCCUUGCGCUAUCAGAUGAGCCUAGGUCGGAUUAGCUAGUUGGUGAGGUAAUGGCUCACCAAGGCGACGAUCCGUAACUGGUCUGAGAGGAUGAUCAGUCACACUGGAACUGAGACACGGGCCAGACUCCUACGGGAGGCAGCAGUGGGGAAUAUUGGACAAUGGGCGAAAGCCUGAUCCAGCCAUGCCGCGUGUGUGAAGAAGGUCUUCGGAUUGUAAAGCACUUUAAGUUGGGAGGAGGGGCAGUAAGCUAAUACCUUGCUGUUUUGACGUUACCGACAGAAUAAGCACCGGCUAACUCUGUGCCAGCAGCCGCGGUAAAAC
rnacentral:rRNA from 1 species